UACAGAGGGUGCGAGCGUUAAUCGGAAUUCCUGGGCGUAAAGCGUGCGUAGACGGUUAUUUAAGUCGGGUGUGAAAGCCCCGGGCUCAACCUGGGAAUUGCAUUCGAGACUGAAUAGCUAGGGUACGGUAGAGGGAAGCGGAAUUUCCGGUGUAGCGGUGAAAUGCGUAGAUAUCGGAAGGAACAUCAGUGGCGAAAGCGGCUUCCUGGACCAGUACCGACGUUCAGGCACGAAAGCGUGGGGAGCAAACAGG
rnacentral:rRNA from 1 species